rnacentral:rRNA from 1 species
AUGUGGCUGACCAUGUAUCUAGCACACGCGCUGCAAGAACAGGAUGUCUUGUCCUUGAAGGAGUUGGUUGACACUAAAACAUUGGAGGAAUCACCCAUCACUGCCACUUCCUUGCCCUCUCCGCAGGACACGAUUGAGAUCUCACCAUCAUCAUGGUGCUGCCUUUCCUCCAACCCCAGCAUGGCUAGAGAAGGCAGGGUCCACCGAGCUGCAUCUGGCUUCCUCGGUGAUGAAGAAGCCGCAGGUAUGCACGGCUUCUCCACUUCCUCGUCCUCUAAUUUAAUCUCUAAUUUAAUCGCUGGUCUCUUGGCCUCCUAUUGGAGCUCGCUUGGUUGGCCGGUAGAUUGCUUUGAUUUAGGGCCUCAUCUGAUUAUACCUUCUAGGAUGAUUCAACAAAUGGGGCCACGAACUUUAGCACGCUAA